UCCACGCCCUAAACGAUGCGAACUGGAUGUUGGGUGCAAUUUGGCACGCAGUAUCGAAGCUAACGCGUUAAGUUCGCCGCCUGGGGAGUACGGUCGCAAGACUGAAACUCAAAGGAAUUGACGGGGGCCCGCACAAGCGGUGGAGUAUGUGGUUUAAUUCGAUGCAACGCGAAGAACCUUACCUGGCCUUGACAUGUCGAGAACUUUCCAGAGAUGGAUU
rnacentral:rRNA from 1 species